CUACCUAUCGCGCCGAGCUCCAUCCAAUAGGCAGGGUUACCGACCGUGGAUGGAGGCGGGGGACCCACCGGUUCACCGUGAUCGGACCGGAGCCGACUACCGGCUCCUUGGGGUGAAGCCUGCGCGGGGUCCCUUGCGGAUGCCGCGUUGGCCGGGUGGCCUCUCCAACCCGAACCCGACAGCUGACCUCGCAGGCGCGUAGCGAGAGGAAUA
rnacentral:sRNA from 2 species